rnacentral:snRNA from 1 species
AGCUUUGUGCAGCAGCAGUAUCACAGUCAGUGAGGUUUAUCUGAGGUGAGAUUAUUGCUAAUUGAAAACUUUUUCCUCCCCAGCUACUCCGGGGGCUGAGGCAAGAGAAUCACCUAAGCCCAAGAGUUGGAGGUUGCUAUGAAC